UACGGGGGGAGCAAGCGUUGUUCGGAUUUACUGGGCGUAAAGGGCGCGUAGGCGGCCAGUGCAAGUCAGUUGUGAAAUCUCCGAGCUUAACUCGGAAAGGUCAACUGAUACUGCUCGGCUAGAGUGCGGAAGGGGCAACUGGAAUUCUUGGUGUAGCGGUGAAAUGCGUAGAUAUCGGGAGGAACACCUGUGGCGAAAGCGGCGCACUGGACCAUAACUGACGCUGAGGCGCGAAAGCUAGGGGAGCAAACAGG
rnacentral:rRNA from 1 species